rnacentral:tRNA from 1 species
GGGCGAUUAGCUCAGUGGGAGAGCGCUUCCUUCACACGGAAGAGGUCGUGGGUUCAAAUCCCUCAUCGCCCA